GCUGUCCAUGCUGCCGCUGUCCACUGCGACGGAGACGGCGGGGGUGGCGGGCGUGCUGUCCUCCGUCGAUACUUCAACUUCCGCCAGAUGGACAAUGGGUGCGCGGAUGAUUUCGCUCGAUCCGGAUAACGAUUCCUCCCGCGCACUCGAAAGUCGCGCGAUGCGCUUGUUCGCAGGUGAAUUGAUGCCGAGCUCCGAUUGCGCGCUUCCCGGGAAUCGCGCACGCGGUGUCACGAUUUUAUGAUUCACUAACUGAUUGAAACGUUGCCUCUGACGUCACGGAAACGGUACAGUACACCAUUUAGUGAGAAAUCUCCCCCCUUUUUCUACUUUAUUUCACGCGGUUCGUUUGCAGACUGACUUUGACCGAGGAGACACGCGGCUGCCGGGAAGGAAAACGCAUUUUCCUCGUCGGACGAUGCGUCACUCGUCGACACUCGUACGUGGAAGGAGAGGCCGCAGCAUCGAUCACAAUAACGGUGCACACGGCGGAAUUUCGCGGAAAUCUCCCGAAACUCGCCGUGCCGCGCGUUCGUUGAGUCGAAAUUGCUUUCACCACGUCUCCGAAUAGCAAUAACGUACAAGCGACGGCUGCGAGAUCGUGCGUGCACACGGCACGGUCGGACGGGUUCGACUGGUGGUAAUAAGGGGUGGUACGCGCCGUUGCGCCCCGUUUCUGUCUACCUGUCUCGCCAGCGACCUGACGGUGGCACCUACGGUGCGCGCGUGCGGUGACAGGUGCGCGCACGGGUCCCCUUCUGCACAGGUGGACCAUGUACACGCGCCAGGUCGACCCUCUUUUCUUUUCGUCGACCCUCCCCAAGCUGAAACCGACAGGGGAGCUAACUCGCCCUCCCUCUCGCUGACUCUUCAGCUUGUGGCGAGCAGCGACCGUCGAAAUAUUUCAGGCCGCAGAUGACGUGCAACGAUAAAAACAACGUAUUAAUUGAAUUAUACAUCCAGUUACGCAGCACGCAUCAAGUUCUAAAUUUCUAAGAAAGUUAGCUUUCACUUCGAUGAAAAAAAAUAUUCCGAUUUCCUGAGCGGCGACGAGGCACAUGUGUCGAUAUCAAGUGUAGAUUGUUCGGCCUUGAAGUUUUCCGUAAUGUUCUAAUGAAUUAUCCACGGAGAUAAUUUUGUCAACCCCCCCGGACGAAGGGAGGCGGUGAUACGCGCGUUUCGUCCUGUCUGGCGUUGUAGGCGGGGGUGGACGCGCUUCGCCCAGUCGCCUUGGUACAGGUGCCUCCAUUGAUCGAAUCGGGGGAGGCAGCGACCGCCAGUUACGAUAAAGGCCGGCGAGAGUUGAAAGAGGGAGAGGGGAAAGAGCCACGGCUAUUCGACCAAGACGAGAGAAUGGCGCGCGAGAUUCACCCACGGGUUCUCAUCAUCAUUGGUCGGCGGUCCGCUGUUGGGAUCGUUAGCACGAGAGAAGCGUCGACUCCGAAUUAACACGAACGCAGAACAUGUCGCGUACGAUACGUACACGUAGACGCUUUUGGGCGUUCUGCGGAGAAUUGAUCCUCCUCUGAACGGGAGGGGGGAAAGCGGCACGAUAAAAGAAAUGUUUCUGAAAAUAUGUCCUUAAUAAGGAUAAGGAACAAACUCUUCUUGCGGGAAUGAAAGGCGCAAGAGGAAUUUGGACGGACGCCAUCGCUGCGAGGACCUCCC
rnacentral:lncRNA from 1 species